ACAGACUGCACAAUCAAAUUGCCACUUGGGACACAGAGUUUGAGAGUGGUACGAGAACUGCUUUGCUGCAUCCCUUCUCACCAGUUGUGAUUGCUGCAGAUGAGAGUGAAUGGAUCAGGUAGAGGAAUAUUGGCCUGAAUGAAAACAUUGUUUUCAUCGUUCCUUUUUCACGAUCUUCUCUCGUAGUACUGCGGGAAGGGUCGGUUAGUUCAAGUUCUAGGUUAGUCGUUGGAGCUAUGUGUAAUCUGUCAUUUCAACCAACAAAUGCUGCUUUGCUGGUAAGCAAUCAUUCUCAAGUGGAAAGACUAGAUGCAGGUCAAUGUACAUGUCCUGGAACUAUGCCUGCUUUCUUAAUAAUCGCCAUAUCUUCUUAGAGCUUCAAGACGUAGAUGCUACUUAUAUUGAAGUCUUUGUUUGACCUCACUCUUGUAUGGUGUUGGAUCAGGUGUCUUGCUUAUUUUUGCUUUUGUUUCUUAGUCUUCUCACCCCUUAUGUUGCGUCACCUCAGAACAACUUCUUGACUCUGUGGCCAUUAGGUUUGAGUUAUUGAGUUUCUUUUACAUGGUCAACUUCUUGGCCAUUAGAUCUGAUAUAUUGAGCUUCUUUUUCAUGAUAAAGGAACUAAUGAUACAACAAUACCUAGUAUGUUCCCACGAGUGAGGUCCAGAGAGGGUGGGGGUGUAUGCAGACCUCCCCUACCUUUAUAUGGUAGAGAGUUGUUUUCAAUAGACCCUUGACUUAAGAAAAACAUUUUUCAGAAAAAAUCUGAAAUAAACAUAAGAGUAAAAAGCUAUGAUGAAAAUAUUGAAGGAACGGAAGUACCAAUAGUAAAAGUAUUGAAGAUAACCAAAUAAAGGAAAUAAUAGUAGUGAUAUAACUGAAGCAUAAGAUAAUGCUAGCAUAAUAGUAAUAGUAUGACAAGGGAACAAAUAGAUGCACCAAGACUAGAACCUUCCAUGACCACUAUGAAGAGAGAAAAUGCUCUACAACCUACUUGCCGUUUGCCCUAAUCUUUGACCUCCAUGCCCUCUAUCUAGGAUCAUUUCUUCGGUAAACUAGAGAUGGUCAUAUCUUGUCUGAUCAUGUUUCCCCAAUUCUUUCUCAGUUUACCUCUAUCUCUCUUCAAACCUAUCACUACCAACCUCCGCAUCUUGUCUACACACGAAGGCUACUUCAGCCUUGCCUCACAUAUGUUCGUUCCUAAUCCUGUCUCUUCUAGUAUGCCCGCACAUCCAUCUAAGAAUCCUCAUUUCCUCUAACUUCAUAUUCUGAAAAUGGGAGUUCUUGACUGGCCAUACUCCAUCUUGUACAACAUAGUCGGUCUAACAAUCACUCUAUAAAACUACCUUUAAGUCUAGAUGACAUAUUCACUUAGGACACAAGAUGUGCGCCUUUAUUUCAUCCGCCCCACUCCAAUACGAUGUGCAACAUCCUUGUCGUUCUACCCAUUCCCUUGGAUUGAAGACCCGUAAAGGAACAGAUGAUAUUCUAUUAAAUUUAUGUUUCUUAGAAUCCUUGUGAUUAUUCUAGAACAAAUGAAUAUAGUAGGUAACUUAAUUUAUUUCUAUUAUAAUUAGGUAUUGGUUUGUACUGAUUUUCUUUUCUUUUUAGGACAUGUAAACAGAAGUAUUCAAACCCCAAUAGCUUGAUGAAAUAAUCGUGCUGAGUUCCUCUUAUUUUUUCUUCAACUUCACUAGGUAUUAAAGCCUAGUUACGACCAGCAACAUAUAGAAAUAAGAUUUUCAGACAACCUCUUACGGUUGUCCGAAGCAGUGUUAUCAAAGGCGAAAAGCUCUAAGGUCUAGGAGGCUUUAAGCGCAAAGCGCAAAUAAAGCGUGGGCUUUAACGAAAAAAGGCGCAAAGGGAGAAAAGAAUAAAAUAUAUAUGUUUAGUCCAAGACUAAUAACUAUAAACAUGAAUGACAAAUAUAUGACCAACGAAAUUGAAAAAAAAUUAUGAUAGAGUGAAAUAUCAAUUAUUUAGCUUCAAAUUCUUCAUAAGAGGCUCAGUGGCAAGGAAAUACCUGCCUUAGAACCUUGACGACAACACUAAAGCGCACAUAAAGCGAGGUGAAGCGCUCAACACAUUUUGAGCCUCGCUUUAGGGCUUAAGCGCUCUUAAAGCGCGCCUUUGAUAACACUGGUCCAAAGAUAAUUUUGUUUUCGUAGAUGUUGUGAUCAAACCGUUACCCGCUAUGAGAACUGGAACACUAACGUGAACAAUCCUCAACCAGCUCCGCUACUGUCUGCCGCUUCAUGCGCCGACCAGAGCAUCCCAGAUUCUAACAGGAUCUGUUCACGCGCUGGCCAACUGGAGUUUAGAGAUUGAUUGCCAUUUUUUCAGAUAAAAGGUACUCUUAAAAGACAGUCACAAGGUUCAUGCGGUCAAAUGAUCAAUUUGCAGACAUAUAAUUUAUAUUCACUAGCUUGAUGGGGAGUCGUAGAAUCCUUGUGAAUAUUUUAGCACUCCCCCUUAAGUGGUGAAUACAAAUUAUGUGUCAAGCUUGUUGCAUAUAUAACUUGUUCUAGGCUAGGGACUUGGUGAACACGUUUGUGAGCUUGGUACAUAUAAUUUUCUUGCACCAACUUGAGGGGGAGUGGUAACAUCAUUGUGAAUAUUACUAGGAAUAUAGAAGCGGGAGCGGGAGUAGCUUAGGGUCGUCCUGCUUAGGAGAACAUUUUCAGAAUUUCAAAGUCUAAUCAAGAUAUUGUACUUAUAUAUUUAUAACUUGUACAUGCUUGAUGUGUUUGCUGAAAGUGUAGGUCCCACCUCAAAUUGCCAUGCCACAUGCUGAAUUUGGUAGCUUUUUGAACUAUCAAUUCGGUAAAAAUGUGGGCCUGCUGAAAACUUUUGUUUCUCUCUCUGAGUAGCUUUUGUUCAUCUUUGCUACUUGUGCUUUUGUGUGGAAAGACUAGAUGCAGGUCAAUGUACAUGUCCUGGAACUAUGCCUGCUUUCUAAAUAAUCGCCAUAUCUUCUUAGAGCUUCAAGACGUAGAUGCUACUUAUAUUGAAGUCUUUGUUUGACCUCACUCUUGUAUGGUGUUGGAUCAGGUGUUCUUGCUUAUUUUUGCUUUUGUUUCUUAGUCAAUGAAUGCAAAGCAGUGUGAUAUUUCCAUUUUAGUUUAUACAACUUACUGUUUUCCUAAGUGCAUGCACCAAAAGUAAUCAUCGUUAUUUGUGUUAAAUUAAAUGUCAUUGACCUGCAUCUAGUCUUUCCACUUGAGAAUGAUUGCUUACCAGCAAAGCAGCAUUUGUUGGUUGAAAUGACAGAUUACACAUAGCUCCAACGACUAACCUAGAACUUGAACUAACCGACCCUUCCCGCAGUACUACGAGAGAAGAUCGUGAAAAAGGAACGAUGAAAACAAUGUCUUCAUUCAGGCCAAUAUUCCUCUACCUGAUCCAUUCACUCUCAUCUGCAGCAAUCACAACUGGUGAGAAGGGAUGCAGCGAAGCAGUUCUCGUACCACUCUCAAACUUUGUGUCCCAAGUGGCAAUUUGAUUAUGCAGUCUGUUCACCUCUGAGACAAAGAAGCUUGUUUGUUCAACCCGACCUCAUCCCAAAGUGGAAAGAGUUGUUGGGGUUGGCUUUCAACCUGGACUUCAACCAGCAAAGGUUGUCAGUGCAUCUCAGGCUGGUGAUAUUCAGUUCCUCGAUAUGAGAAAUCUCAAGGCGGCUUACCUGACUAUUGAUGCUCACAGGGGAUCACUUACAUCUCUGGCGGUACAUCGUCAUGCACCCCUUAUAGCAAGUAGUUCAUUAAAGCAACUUAUCAAAGUGUUCAACCUGGAGGGUAAGCAGUUAGGCAGCAUUAGGUAUUUGUCCACCUUCAUGGCUCAGACGAUUGGAUCUGUAAGAUGCCUUACCUUCCAUCCCUAUCAAGUGCUGCUUGCUGCUGGUGCAGCAGAUGCCUGUGUUUCUAUCUACGCUGAUGAGAUUUCCCCACCAACAUAACAACUUCAUCGCUUUGUCACAAAUUCUCAGAUUGAGAAACAAGAUUUUUAGGACUUGGGUGUGUUCCUUUGAGAUGGUCAGUGGCGGAUGGAUUGUUGACAUCUCUUCUGGUCCCAGUCUACAUCUCUUAAUACAGUGAUCAGCUCACUGAGGUUGAUGUUGACAUCUUUGAUUAGUUGCUGUCAACCUCUCCUGAAGAGCUGAUCCGGCUCACGGAGGUUGCAUGCUGCUUAUUUAUUGAGCUGCAUCAGCACAGAGUGGCGGAAAGUCAAGAAAAAUCAACAUAUUGAACGGAAGCUUUGGAGAAAAAUUCCAUACAAAGAGUCCUUAAUGGAGAUGAUAGUUGGAGAUUAUUUUAAGCUUUGGAUCAACUAUUUCUGGUGGGAAGUAGCAAGUACCUCGUGUAUGCCAAGUUGGUCCCGACAACACGAUCAUUAAAAGAAACUAUUUCUGGUCACUUUCAUGUCAACAGCAAUUUUCUACAGGAAUCAACUUCCAUACCAAAGUGUGAUGAUGCAAUGAGUUUGAAUAGGAUUAGGGACGUGGCACAAAUAUCAAAAUGCCUAUAUUGCAGAGGAAAACUACUCUCAGAAGAAUUUGAUUGAUCCUGUCAUCUUUACAUUAUCUUCGUACUUCAAAAAAAAGUAUGUUCUUAUUGUUGUAUAUUGUAAAUGAUAACAAGGAUGAAAUUUAUCAUAUUGAGUUAAUUAACUAUUCACUUCAUUAAUAA